GUGAAUCAUCGAAUCUUUGAACGCAAAUUGCACUCUCUGGUAUUCCGGAGAGUAUGCCUGUUUGAGGGUCAGUUAAAUAAAAAUCGGGGUUUUUGCCACCUUUGGUGGUGACGCUUCGGAAUUGGGUCGUCUUUACCUUUCGGUUACGUGACUUAAAAUUUUUUGUAUGUUAUUUGACGGUAUUUAAAUUUAUUUGGUACGUCUUGUAAUAUCGAGUGUUUAUUUGGUGUGAUCAUCCACAUGACUUACGUCUAUAA
rnacentral:misc_RNA from 1 species